rnacentral:rRNA from 1 species
UUGCAUAUCAAUAAGCGGAGGAAAAGAAACCAACAGGGAUUGCUCUAGUAACGGCGAGUGAAGCAGCAAUAGCUCAAAUUUGAAAUCUGGCGUCUUCGGCGUCCGAGUUGUAAUUUGUAGAGGAUGCUUCUGGGCAGCCACCGACCUAAGUUCCUUGGAACAGGACGUCAUAGAGGGUGAGAAUCCCGUAUGCGGUCGGAAAGGCACCCUACACGUAGCUCCUUCGACGAGUCGAGUUGUUUGGGAAUGCAGCUCUAAAUGGGAGGUAAAUUUCUUCUAAAGCUAAAUAUUGGCCAGAGACCGAUAGCGCACAAGUAGAGUGAUCGAAAGAUGAAAAGCACUUUGGAAAGAGAGUUAAAAAGCACGUGAAAUUGUUGAAAGGGAAGGGAUUGCAACCAGACUUGCUCGCGGUGUUCCGCCGGUCUUCUGACCGGUCUACUCGCCGCGUUGCAGGCCAGCAUCGUCUGGUGCCGCUGGAUAAGACUUGAGGAAUGUAGCUCCCUCGGGAGUGUUAUAGCCUCUUGUGAUGCAGCGAGCGCCGGGCGAGGUCCGCGCUUCGGCUAGGAUGCUGGCGUAAUGGUUGUAAUCCGCCCGUCUUGA